AAUGUCGGAGACUAUCCAACUGGAACAGUUUCUCCCCCGGAUAACACUUAUCCCCUUCUUCAUGCUGCUCCCCCUAGUUACAACGAGGUUGUUAAAUACAGUGCAGUUAUCGGGCCUGGGUACAGUUCUGAGAUAAGACA